UUCGCCCUUAGAGUUUGAUCCUGGCUCAGGAUGAACGCUGGCGGCGUGCCUAACACAUGCAAGUCGAACGAAGCGCCUUUUGAGAUUCUUCGGAUGAUCGAUUGGUGACUGAGUGGCGGACGGGUGAGUAACGCGUGGGUAACCUGCCCUGUACAGGGGGAUAACAGCUGGAAACGGCUGCUAAUACCGCAUAAGCGCACGAGGAGACAUCUCCUUGUGUGAAAAACUCCGGUGGUACAGGAUGGGCCCGCGUCUGAUUAGCUGGUUGGCAGGGUAACGGCCUACCAAGGCAACGAUCAGUAGCCGGUCUGAGAGGAUGAACGGCCACAUUGGAACUGAGACACGGUCCAAACUCCUACGGGAGGCAGCAGUGGGGAAUAUUGCACAAUGGGGGAAACCCUGAUGCAGCAACGCCGCGUGAGUGAAGAAGUAUUUCGGUAUGUAAAGCUCUAUCAGCAGGGAAGAUAAUGACGGUACCUGACUAAGAAGCUCCGGCUAAAUACGUGCCAGCAGCCGCGGUAAUACGUAUGGAGCAAGCGUUAUCCGGAUUUACUGGGUGUAAAGGGUGCGUAGGUGGCAGUGCAAGUCAGAUGUGAAAGGCCGGGGCUCAACCCCGGAGCUGCAUUUGAAACUGCUCGGCUAGAGUACAGGAGAGGCAGGCGGAAUUCCUAGUGUAGCGGUGAAAUGCGUAGAUAUUAGGAGGAACACCAGUGGCGAAAGCGGCCUGCUGGACUGUUACUGACACUGAGGCACGAAAGCGUGGGGAGCAAACAGGAUUAGAUACCCUGGUAGUCCACGCCGUAAACGAUGAUACUAGUGUCGGGGCCGUAUAGGCUUCGGUGCCGC
rnacentral:rRNA from 1 species